CACUGUGCCCAGCCUCACAAAUUUUUAUUCUAACUUCUGAAAUGGAAAUCAGAGUUCUCUUGUGGAUUAUUAAGCGGGAUUCUUAAGUGAAAGCACUUGGCCUUUUGAAAGCUUCUAGAAAAUAGCAAUGUUCCUUCCCUUACUCAAUGUGACUGCUUAUUUUGAUUGCACCCUUACUUUUAGGAAUAUUUACCAGAGAGCCAUUGGUAAGUAUAAAUUUGAGCCUUAACUUCCAAAGUCUGAUAUGGAGGAAAGGAAAAAGAUCAGACAGCCGGCUGGUCCACGUGGCCUGAGCUGCCAUGCCUAGGCUGUCUUUCUCCAGUAGCAGAGGUGGGUGCCAUGGGGUGAUUUGAGGCUCCCAGGCCUCCAGAGGCCUCAGUCAGAACUGGCUUGCUGUCCCGUCCACCAGUCCCAAGCGCCACCCACAUUUAAGAGAUGGGGAACGGGCAUGGGUCCAAGAGAAGGGGGAAAAAUUGAGCCUCUUUUUGGCGAUGAAUCUAGUGCACGCCUCUGAGUUGCCCGCCACUGCAGUAACAAAUCACGACAGCGCAGUGACUCACGCGACACAGGCCCCUUCCCCGCAGCGCAGUGGCUCACGCGACACAGGCCCCUUCCCCGCAGCGCAGUGGCUCAUGCGACACAGGCUCCUUCCCUUACAGCCCUGGAGCCCGGAAGUCUGCCGUGACGGCGUUGGCGGGCCGUGCUUCUCCUGGAGGCCCCUGUGCUCCCGAGGCCUGAACCCCUCCUUGCAGCCCUCCACCCUCUCACUCCACCCUCACAGCUCCCAGUACUGACUCCUGCCUCUCCACCUAAAGGGACCCCCAAGAUCAUCUGGGAUGACCUGCCCAUGCCAACAGCCUUCGUUUAGUCACAUUGCAAAGUUCCUUCUGCCAUGUAAGGUGACAUAUUCACAAGUUCGGGGAUUAGGACGCGAACAUCUUGGGCAGAGGCGGGGACCUACUAUUCAGGCUACCGAAAAAUAGCUCUGUACAUUCUGUCAUCUGUGCACAGGACGGGCCGCUGCUGGUACCAAGUCACUUCGGAUGGAAGUUUCCAAUAUUGCUGUCAUUCUACUUCCCCUUCCUUCCCGGGACACUGGGGAUAAAGGAGAAUUCCUUUUCUUCCUUAGGGCAGCAACAACGCAUUAAAAAGAUCCUCAAAUGGCAAGAUAAAGUUGGAUGCUCCCAUAUUGCUUCUGCAAGAACUUUGAUGGGCAUGGAGACGGUGAGGAUUACAAGGAGGAGCUGGAGAUCUUGUUGACGUCAUGUAAAGGAUCCUUAAACAGCAGAGUUGGUCGAGGCGUUUAGGGAAUGCUUGAGUAGCUGGAACUCCUCAGGGAAGUCAUCCCGUUGAAGGCUGCACGCUUUCUUUGUGUCAUCUGUUCAAAAGGAAAUCAGAGGUGGGGCCGGAAAUUCAGACCGGGCUGGGUAGAUAUAUUCUGCUUUAGAAAAAUAGGAUUUUCGAAACUCGAAUUCGUAAGGUGAAUAAUUUAAAAGUAGCACUUGGUUAAUUGCAUUACAAACGAAUUUUUCUGUUUGGGAAAAUAUGCUUCAUAUGUCUUUCAAAUAGUUCUUUUGUUCACUCAGAAUAAUUGGGUUAACACGUUCUUCAGAAAAUCAUCCAUUUCAGGGGUACAGGAAUAGCAGUAUCUUAAAACUACUUUGAAGUGCAAGAUCUUAUUAAUCUUUCUUAUUCUUACGUGCAAAGUUUGCAUGGGUUAAAUAGUGAGAGUAAAGGGAGAUGCGUUUGCAAAUCAGUUUCAAACUGAAAUAUGACUCGUCAAAUACCCUUUAGUAUUUGAUGAAAGAUGCGCAUUUUUCUUUUCCUUUCUAGUCAGAAAAUUUUCUUUCACAAUAAAUUUCCUGCUGGGAGAGCAAGAGGGCUGAUCUCUGGGAGCAGAACAGACCCAUUUAGGCCAUUUCAAAAAUUCGGUGCACGUGGCAAGGCCAGUCUGAGACCCAGUCAAUGAUUCACAGUUUAGAAAGAUAUGCCUGCGUGUAGAUCCAAGCUCUCAACUUAAUGUUUAUUUGGUCUAAGUUUGUAUUCUCAUUAGGAGCUCUCAGUCCAUCAAAUGGGUAUUGGGAAAGAAAACCAAACAAAAUCAAAAUGAGCUUUGGGAACCACACCUCAGCGUAGGCCUGGGCUGUCACUCUCCACCUCACAUUGCCAUGCUUACGUGUUUUUUAGUGUGUGAGGAGCCCUUCUCAUAGGGCCUGACCACCAGCAGCCAGGACGGGACACUGAGACACAGGGUGUUCAGCACAGACACCCUCCAGCUGCUCAGUGCUGAGGGGCAUUUGUGAGCUUGCUGCGGUGGUUUGGAAGAAGCCCCAAAGCUGGACACCCUGUUGGUAGAUGGUUGUGUGAUAUGUCCGGCUGGGUGAGGCUUGGGGGACUAAGGUGAUCCAGGUGGCCUUUAAGAGAUUUGCAGUUGAGGAGUAUUUUUGGCUGAUGAGUAAGUCUCCGGAAUCCUGCCUGCUUUGGACAGCAAAAAGAACAUUCCCCACCUUCCAGAGAUGAGGCCUCCACGCCGCAAACAGAAAGGAAAACUGGCAACUUCAGAAGGCAUCAUUUUAGGGAUCUGAAGGUAAAUGAAUAUGCACAUAUUUUUAGAUGCAAAAUGUGUCUGGAUGAUUUUAGAACAGUUUUGCAUCUCUGUUGCUUUUGAAGCUCCCGCAGGUACAAAACGCAGCCAUUUGCCUAAACACCUGCUUAGUGUGUUGAUCUGGUUGGAUGAAAGAGCAGAACUAUGAAAAAUCACUCUGACAAGCAUUCCUCUCAUCUGCAGGCAGUAAACCGUCUUAAAAUCUGAUGAAAACGCUUUGAAACAAAUAAAAUAGCUGGAUGUGGGAUUCCCUGGAGAGAAACCAGGCAUUUCCCCAUGUUCCUCAGUUGUAAAACCAGAUGUUUUAGAAUCAGAAAACUGGAGAUUUAAAAUCUAAAACCUGAAUUCUUGAUUUCAUCUUCUUUCUCUACCCUCCUGUACCAUUGUUUUGAUGUAUGCAAUUUAUUUCUAAUAAGUGAGCAUCUCUCUCAUUUCUCCUCCUAAGUUCUGUGCUUUUUGGGGUCCAGGCACAGGUUGCCCUGGGGCUCCCAGGCAUCUCUGCAAUCAAGGAAAUUGGUGCCAUCAUGAGUGGCCAGGGUGGAACAGCACAGG